GACUCUCGGCAACGGAUAUCUCGGCUCUCGCAUCGAUGAAGAACGUAGCGAAAUGCGAUACUUGGUGUGAAUUGCAGAAUCCCGUGAACCAUCGAGUCUUUGAACGCAAGUUGCGCCCGAAGCCUUCUGGCUGAGGGCACGCCUGCCUGGGCGUCACGCAUC
rnacentral:rRNA from 1 species